AAAAAUUAGUUAAUUUAUAACAUUAGAUUGUCAAUCUAAAAUUAUUUUUCAAAAAUAUUUUUUAA
rnacentral:tRNA from 1 species